rnacentral:rRNA from 1 species
CGGAGGGAUCAUUACCGAGUUUACAACUCCCAAACCCAAUGUGAACGUUACCAAACUGUUGCCUCGGCGGGGUCACGCCCCGGGUGCGUCGCAGCCCCGGAACCAGGCGCCCGCCGGAGGAACCAACCAAACUCUUUCUGUAGUCCCCUCGCGGACGUAUUUCUUACAGCUCUGAGCAAAAAUUCAAAAUGAAUCAAAACUUUCAACAACGGAUCUCUUGGUUCUGGCAUCGAUGAAGAACGCAGCGAAAUGCGAUAAGUAAUGUGAAUUGCAGAAUUCAGUGAAUCAUCGAAUCUUUGAACGCACAUUGCGCCCGCCAGUAUUCUGGCGGGCAUGCCUGUCCGAGCGUCAUUUCAACCCUCGAACCCCUCCGGGGGAUCGGCGUUGGGGAUCGGGACCCCUCACACGGGUGCCGGCCCCGAAAUACAGUGGCGGUCUCGCCGCAGCCUCUCCUGCGCAGUAGUUUGCACAACUCGCACCGGGAGCGCGGCGCGUCCACGUCCGUAAAACACCCCAACUUUCUGAAAUGUUGACCUCGGAUCAGGUAGGAAUACCCGCUGAACUUAAGCAU